rnacentral:rRNA from 1 species
ACUGCUCAGUAACACGUGGAUAACCUGCCCUUGGGUCCGGCAUAACCCCGGGAAACUGGGGAUAAUUCCGGAUAACGCACAUAUGCUGGAAUGCUUUUUGCGUAAAAUGGAUUCGUCUGCCCAAGGAUGGGUCUGCGGCCUAUCAGGUAGUAGUGGGUGUAAUGUACCUACUAGCCUACGACGGGUACGGGUUGUGAGAGCAAGAGCCCGGAGAUGGAUUCUGAGACAUGAAUCCAGGCCCUACGGGGCGCAGCAGGCGCGAAAACUUUACAAUGCGGGAAACCGUGAUAAGGGGACACCGAGUGCCAGCGUCAUACGCUGGCUGUCCAGGUGUGUAAAAUACACCUGUUAGCAAGGGCCGGGCAAGACCGGUGCCAGCCGCCGCGGUAACACCGGCGGCCCGAGUGGUGAUCGUGAUUAUUGGGUCUAAAGGGUCCGUAGCCGGUUUGGUCAGUCCUCCGGGAAAUCUGACAGCUUAACUGUUAGGCUUUCGGAGGAUACUGCCAGACUUGGAACCGGGAGAGGUAAGAGGUACUACAGGGGUAGGAGUGAAAUCUUGUAAUCCCUGUGGGACCACCUGUGGCGAAGGCGUCUUACCAGAACGGGUUCGACGGUGAGGGACGAAAGCUGGGGGCACGAACCGGAUUAGAUACCCGGGUAGUCCCAGCCGUAAACGAUGCUCGCUAGGUGUCAGGCAUGGCGCGACCGUGUCUGGUGCCGCAGGGAAGCCGUGAAGCGAGCCACCUGGGAAGUACGGCCGCAAGGCUGAAACUUAAAGGAAUUGGCGGGGGAGCAC